rnacentral:rRNA from 1 species
GUGGGGAAUCUUCCGCAAUGGACGAAAGUCUGACGGAGCGACGCCGCGUGAGUGAAGAAGGCCUUCGGGUCGUAAAGCUCUGUCAUCAGGGACGAACGGCCGGUGGAGUGGAAAGCCACCGGAUUGACGGUACCUGAGAAGGAAGCCACGGCUAACUACGUGCCAGCAGCCGCGGUAAUACGUAGGUGGCAAGCGUUGUCCGGAAUUAUUGGGCGUAAAGCGCGCGCAGGUGGGAUCUUAAGUCCAUUUUGAAAGUUCGGAGCUCAACUCCGUGAUGGGAUGGAAACUGGGAUUCUUGAGUACCGGAGAGGAAAGCGGAAUUCCCCGUGUAGCGGUGAAAUGCGUAGAGAUCGGGAGGAACACCAGUGGCGAAGGCGACUUACUGGACUGUAACUGACGCUGAGGCGCGAAAGUGUGGGGAGCAAACAGGAUUAGAUACCCCGGUAGUCC